rnacentral:tRNA from 1 species
AGGAAUGUAGCUCAGUGGUAGAGUGCCAAUGGGUUCAAUCCCCAGUACCACAGAUAAAUUAAUCAAAUCAAAGAGUCUGGGCUAUCAAUCAGAAGCAGUAGAACACUUCUCUAGCAUGCAUGAGGCCCUGGGAUCAAUCCCCAGCACUACAA